UACGUAGGUGGCAAGCGUUGUCCGGAUUUAUUGGGUUUAAAGGGUGCGUAGGCGGGAGAUUAAGUCAGUGGUGAAAGCCCACAGCUCAACUGUGGAACUGCCAUUGAUACUGGUUUUCUUGAGUAUAGAUGAGGCAGGCGGAAUUUACGAUGUAGCGGUGAAAUGCAUAGAUAUCGUAAAGAACACCUAUAGCGAAGGCAGCUUGCUAAACUAUAACUGACGCUGAGGCACGAAAGCAUGGGGAGCGAACAGG
rnacentral:misc_RNA from 1 species